GAUGAACGCUGGCGGCGUGCCUAAUACAUGCAAGUCGAGCGAACAGAUGAGGAGCUUGCUCCUCUGACGUUAGCGGCGGACGGGUGAGUAACACGUGGAUAACCUACCUAUAAGACUGGGAUAACUACGGGAAACCGGAGCUAAUACCGGAUAAUAUAUUGAACCGCAUGGUUCAAUAGUGAAAGACGGUUUUGCUGUCACUUAUAGAUGGAUCCGCGCCGCAUUAGCUAGUUGGUAAGGUAACGGCUUACCAAGGCAACGAUGCGUAGCCGACCUGAGAGGGUGAUCGGCCACACUGGAACUGAGACACGGUCCAGACUCCUACGGGAGGCAGCAGUAGGGAAUCUUCCGCAAUGGGCGAAGGCCUGACGGAGCAACGCCGCGUGAGUGAUGAAGGUCUUCGGAUCGUAAAACUCUGUUAUUAGGGAAGAACAAAUGUGUAAGUAACUAUGCACGUCUUGACGGUACCUAAUCAGAAAGCCACGGCUAACUACGUG
rnacentral:rRNA from 1 species